AUCCAGAUGAUAUUCCCAGCAGAGGUACAGCAGAUGGAAAGGCCCUGGUAUUAAAGGAGUAGCUAUGCUAGUGUGGCUGGAAUAGAGUAGGUUUUAUAAAGGGCUGGGAGAUGUCUUUACAGAGAUAAAGGAGGUAGGAAUCCUUAGGGCUGCUCCCAAAUUUAUAGACUUUUACUUAGAUAGGGAAUUCAAGAGGAUUUUGAGUAAUCAACUGUUUUGACUUUUU